GGUGAACCUGCGAAGGAUCAUUGU
rnacentral:rRNA from 1 species